rnacentral:ncRNA from 2 species
CUAAGGACAAAGGGGUGCUGAUCCUCCGCCCUGCGGAGUGUAUUUAGCUGAGAUGAUACCCUCAAGACCUGAUCCAGUCAAUACUGGCGUAGGAAUUGUCAAUCAUUACACA